UCACUUUAGGGUGAGCCCGCGGCGCAUUAGCUAGUUGGUGGGGUAAAGGCCUACCAAGGCAAUGAUGCGUAGCCGAGUUGAGAGACUGAUCGGCCACAUUGGGACUGAGACACGGCCCAAACUCCUACGGGAGGCAGCAGUAGGGAAUCUUCCACAAUGGACGCAAGUCUGAUGGAGCAACGCCGCGUGAGUGAAGAAGGUUUUCGGAUCGUAAAGCUCUGUUGUUGGUGAAGAAGGAUAGAGGCAGUAACUGGUCUUUAUUUGACGGUAAUCAACCAGAAAGUCACGGCUAACUACGUGCCAGCAGCCGCGGUAAUACGUAGGUGGCAAGCGUUGUCCGGAUUUAUUGGGCGUAAAGCGAGCGCAGGCGGAAUGAUAAGUCUGAUGUGAAAGCCCACGGCUCAACCGUGGAACUGCAUCGGAAACUGUCAUUCUUGAGUGCAGAAGAGGAGAGUGGAACUCCAUGUGUAGCGGUGGAAUGCGUAGAUAU
rnacentral:rRNA from 1 species